rnacentral:rRNA from 1 species
GACGGAGGAUGCAAGUGUUAUCCGGAAUCACUGGGCGUAAAGCGUCUGUAGGUGGUUUAAUAAGUCAACUGUUAAAUCUUGAGGCUCAACCUCAAAAUCGCAGUCGAAACUAUUAGGCUAGAGUAUAGUAGGGGUAAAGGGAAUUUCCAGUGGAGCGGUGAAAUGCGUAGAGAUUGGAAAGAACACCGGAUGGCGAAGGCACUUUACUGGGCUAUUACUAACACUCAGAGACGAAAGCUAGGGUAGCAAAUGGG